GUAGGUGAACCUGCGGAAGGAUCAUUAAUGAAUAAAUAGGUGUAAUCUUUUAACAGAUUCACUGACCCUUCAUUUUUCAAACUCUUGUGCAUUUAUUAAUGGUGAUUAGAAGAAGGAAACUUCUUCUUUUCACGUCUAUCAUUUUAAAAAACUUUAAUAGUCAGAGUAUGUUUUAAAAAUUUUAUAAUUAAAAAAAAACUUUCAACAACGGAUCUCUUGGCUCUC
rnacentral:misc_RNA from 1 species